CCAGAAUGACCUUAAAUUCUCACUGCCUAAAGAUUGGGCUGUCUGGGAGGGGCCCAACCACCUUGUCCCUGCAGGAGGAAAUUGGUUCCAGGAUUCCUGAGGAUAUCAGAAUCUGUGGCUGCUCAAGUCUCGUAUACAAAAUGAGAAUUUGUAAUCAACUGCUGAAGCAUUUAUAUGGUCCUAUUUAGAACAUCCUGGGAUGCUCCUACUAUGUGGGAUCUUUUGGAGAAAAAAAUCCAUACCUGAGCAAGUGGAGAGAAGGGACCAGAUUCAGAGGAUACCCAUAAAAUGAUCUGCAAGGGAAAACAAGUUUCUGACCAAGCACGGUUACAACCACAUCUUCCUGGGACAAAUGAGGACAUGUAUCAAUUCCUCACCAACCUUCCAUACACCCCAGGCUUACCUAGGAACUGCCUUCAGCACACCAUGUCUACCAGAGUGGCGGUAUAUAAUCACUAUUCAACUCCACAGCCAGAGAGAGGUGCAGAAGCCAUCACAGGAAAUGACUAGAUGCCCCUGAGCUCUCUGUUGCUGCUGCCGUGCGGGUGACUGGGAAUCACAUAGUUAACUAAAAGCUUUUACUCAGCUUAAUUUCCUCUACUCUACAUGAUAAUUGCUCUGUUCAUUUUCGCUUUACCUUUAAAUUCAGGGCACAUGCACAAAGACAUAAUGGUGUAAGAGUGGAAAAGAGAAGAUGUAUUUUCUAAGCUGCCUGCAGUCUGACAAUUGUUUGAAUGUGUGUGUACAUUUAACAAGAUGGUAGAUUACAGCAUUACCUUAUCUUCAGGGUAAAACUGCCAUUCAGGAUCCAAAAAUCUCCUAAUGGUUUAUUGAAAUGGUUCCCUCUUGCAAUGCAUCAUCACAGUAGUUUAUGAUAAGGAGAAAAGUAUGUUCUGAUACAAAUCAAAUAAUGCCAA